rnacentral:rRNA from 1 species
CCUACGGGAGGCAGCAGUGGGGGAUAUUGGACAAUGGGGGGAACCCUGAUCCAGCGACGCCGCGUGAGUGAAGAAGUAUCUCGGUAUGUAAAGCUCUAUCAGCAGGGAAGAAGGAAUGACGGGACCCGAGUAAGGAGCCCCGGCUAACUACGUGCCAGCAGCCGCGGUAAAACGUAGGGGGCAAGCGUUAUCCGGAAUUACUGGGUGUAAAGGGAGCGUAGACGGGGGUGUAAGUCUGGAGUGAAAGGCGGGGGCCCAACCCCCGGACUGCUCUGGAAACUAUGUGACUGGAGUGCAGGAGAGGUGAGCGGAAUUCCUAGUGUAGCGGUGAAAUGCGUAGAUAUUAGGAGGAACACCAGUGGCGAAGGCGGCUCACUGGACUGUAACUGACGUUGAGGCUCGAAAGCGUGGGGAGCAAACAGGAUUAGAUACCCCAGUAGUC